rnacentral:rRNA from 1 species
AUUGAACGCUGGCGGCAUGCUUUACACAUGCAAGUCGAACGGUAACAGGCCGCAAGGUGCUGACGAGUGGCGGACGGGGGAGUAAUGCAUCGGAACGUGCCCAGUCGUGGGGGAUAACUACUCGAAAGAGUAGCUAAUACCGCAUACGAUCUAUGGAUGAAAGCGGGUGACCGCAAGGCCUCGCGCGAUUUGAGCGGCCGAUGUCAGAUUAGGUAGUUGGUGGGGUAAAGGCUCACCAAGCCAACGAUCUGUAGCUGGUCUGAGAGGACGACCAGCCACACUGGGACUGAGACACGGCCCAGACUCCUACGGGAGGCAGCAGUGGGGAAUUUUGGACAAUGGGCGCAAGCCUGAUCCAGCAAUGCCGCGUGCAGGAAGAAGGCCUUCGGGUUGUAAACUGCUUUUGUACGGAACGAAACGGCUCUGGUUAAUACCCGGGGCUAAUGACGGUACCGUAAGAAUAAGCACCGGCUAACUACGUG